UUCUUAUCAAGAGCAGGCGGAGGGACCAGCCCGAUGAAGCCCGGCAACCGACUUACCCAAAAUCGUAAGCACGGUGCUAAUUCUUGCAGCAAAGAGCUGACAGAUGAGAA
rnacentral:ncRNA from 2 species